rnacentral:lncRNA from 1 species
AUGAAGUUUGUUUUCUGAGGCAUUUUUUAUAGUAAUACCAAGAUACCUACUAUAGGCUGCUGUAGGAGACCGUGACUGACCUCCAUUGUGUAUUAGUAGCCGUCUUACGCGCCUUUCCUUUUAAGUCAGGACUGCCUAUCGUUGCCUAGCUACUACCGUUACCUAGUUACUCCCGCCUUUGUCGGGUUAUUUGGUUAUUCCCGCCUUAGAACUUCCGCGUUUCUCCGUGCCGUAUAUAAGCACGGCACUUCCUGCUAAUAAACGAGGCUUGAUCAGAAUCUUGUCUUGCCUCCAUUCUUCGUGUCUCUUGUCCCUUUAUAAUCCCCACUCCCCUUCUAGGGUCCUCGUUGACUGUACCCGCAGGCUGGGUCAGGCUGCCAUCUACACACGUAUUUUUCCAGCAAGAUAUAUUCUUCUCCUAGGAAGCCCCUGAUCUCUUACUCUGUCCUUUGGCUACCGUGAUAUAUUUUUUUGAAACCUUGACACAUUUUGAGUUUCUUAACUCAGCUGAGACAGAUAAAACCUUCUUUCUCCUGGCUCAGAGAAGAAACAAGCUCUCAAUCACUUUUGAGUUUUGGGGGUCACUGUGCUUGCAGAAGGGAGCAAUAAAGAGGAGUUGCAUGGAGGCUGCAGUAUUCUCUUGUAUUUCCUCACAAAGAUGGAAUAACUUGCGAGCUACAUGUGGAUGGCCAUAA